CUCAUGGAAGAAAAUGACCAGCCCUAUCUGCACUUCUGUUUACUUUUAAUAUGAUAAAGCAAGCAAUACUUGCACAAUGUAAAAUAUAACCAGGAAAGCAGGAAAUCGGUGGUAGAAGGGAAUUUCCUCUCUUUUGCCCAUUGAGUUCAGGAUUUCUCCAAUCCACUGGGAAACUGUUACCACUGGAGGAAGCAACUGCUGAAAGAGAGGAAAAAAAAAUGGGCUCCUCAUGAGAAACCAUGGUGUGUGGGUGACAAUCUGCCAUGAAGUCAGGGCACAGCGGGUGCAAAUAUCAGAGAAGACCUCUGUGCAAGGUCUUUGCAGCGGAGGAGUUACGCCUGAGGGAGAACCUUCCCCUGCUUUCAGAAAACAGCGAGGAGAUGGCAACGAAGGUGUUCGUGCUGCUGAAAAGCUGUAAGCCAGCUCUGGACAGCUGGAGGGCUCAGGGGGCUCUCCCCAUCCUGCCCUUCAGCCUGCCUUCCUUCCCCUCCUCUGCCUUCCCUGCUUGCCUGGGUGGGAGCAGGAGCAGGAGCCGGGCUGCACUGUGCACAGGGCUGCACCAGGCAUCUCAGGAAGUCACGUGUGCUGGAAGCUUUAUCACAAAGAUCCAAUCAGUUAUAAAUAAAAUUUGCAUUGAACCUUAAUAGCAAACCACUGACAGCGUGACCUUCCCCGUCCCUUCCCAGCCUCCUCUGUAGACCGUCAUUUCUCUUUUAUCGUGGUUGUUUUAAAUCGUAUUCACCUGUCGCAGCUUCCUGAGCUGGGUGAGAGUGGUGUGAUGGUUUAAGGCAGCUCCACAGUAGGACAGAGAGGCAGGAGGUGAGCUUUGCUGCACCGUGGGCAAGAGGUAGCAGUGGGAAGGGCUGGCAGCACUUCCUCUGAGAGGGCAAAGAGCUGAAUGCUGUACUAGGGAGAUGUCCCCGGUGCAGCUGAGAACAGCAUUCCUGGCUUUUCCUUGUCCUGAAAGUCAGUGAAGAACAAUUUUGCUAAUACGAUGAACCGAAGUAUCUAAUUCAGUUUGCUGUUUAUUCAUGAGCGUGUUCCAAAAUUUGGUAUGAACUGAUUAUGCAUCUGAAAAAAUCAUUUGGCAAAGAACAAUAUUUAUGCAUUAAAUCUACUCUACCUGGAUACCUUUACUGCUUACUAUUUGUUUAUUUUCUGGAAAUUAAAAAAAAAAGAAAGUACGAGGCAGUGAGCUUAGUUACUGUUAAACUGUUUAUCACACAAGCUCCUGAACACCACUGGCUUGUUAGGAUUCAUGCAUUCUUUUGGUUUCACCCAUUCCGUGCUGCUGAGCACCUAGAAUGGGCACAACCCAACCUGAGCAACUGGUCAAUGAAAAAUUAUGAACAAUGAAUAUUGCUGGUAAAGGGAAUAUGUAGCACUUUUUAUUAACAUAUUUUUUUGUGAUGAAUGCAUAGUAUCAAUAACCGCAGUUAUGAUAGAAAUCGAGAAAUUGAUACCAGCACUCAAGGAUCUGUAAGUUACAAUUCAUUUCUAAUGGAUCUGCAGAGAGUUUAUGGCCAUGGUACUGUUAGCUGGAUCUCUCAUCCUGGUAACAAUCACAUUUAAUUUUAAUGAAGGAAAUAGGAUUAAUUGAUAUAGAGGGAGAAUCAACUCCGUAAUUAAGAUACCCUUUUCCAGAGGAAAAAUUUCUUAAUCCACUGAGAAAGUGGCUUGCACAAGCCAGGAGAUUUUAGGGUAAAAUAAACCCUCUGAAAAAGAACCUGAUGAUAAAUAG
ensembl:lncRNA